GAUGAACGCUGGCGGCGUGCCUAAUACAUGCAAGUCGAGCGAACGGACGAGAAGCUUGCUUCUCUGAUGUUAGCGGCGGACGGGUGAGUAACACGUGGAUAACCUACCUAUAAGACUGGGAUAACUUCGGGAAACCGGAGCUAAUACCGGAUGAUAUUUUGAACCGCAUGGUUCAAAAGUGAAAGACGGUCUUGCUGUCACUUAUAGAUGGAUCCUCGCUGCAUUAGCUAGUUGGUAAGGUAACGGCUUACCAAGGCAACGAUGCAUAGCCGACCUGAGAGGGUGAUCGGCCACACUGGAACGGAGACACGGUCCAGACUCCUACGGGAGGCAGCAGUAGGGAAUCUUCCGCAAUGGGCGAAAGCCUGACGGAGCAACGCCGCGUGAGUGAUGAAGGUAUUCGGAUCGUAAAACUCUGUUAUUAGGGAAGAACAGAUGUGUAAGUAACUGUGCACAUCGUGACGGUACCUAAUCAGAAAGCCACGGCUAACUACGUG
rnacentral:rRNA from 1 species